UACGGAGGGUGCAAGCGUUGUUCGGAUUGACUGGGCGUAAAGGGCGUGUAGGCGGUUAGCCAAGUCUGGUGUGAAAGCCCGGGGCUCAGCCCCGGAAGUGCAUCGGAAACUAGUUAGCUGGAGCGCGAUAGAGGAGGGUGGAAUUCCUGGUGUAGCGGUGAAAUGCGUAGAUAUCAGGAGGAACACCGGCGGCGAAGGCGGCCCUCUGGAUCGUUGCUGACGCUGAGACGCGAAAGCGUGGGGAGCAAACAGG
rnacentral:rRNA from 1 species